UNGCAAGGACUAUGACAAUGUUCCCAUGGG
rnacentral:piRNA from 1 species